UCAGUCGACUCCUACGGGGAGGCAGCAGUGGGGAAGUAUUGCACAAUGGGGGGAAACCCUGAUGCAGCCAUGCCGCGUGUGUGAAGAAGGCCUUCGGGUUGUAAAGCACUUUCAGUAGGGAGGAAGGUAGUGCAGUUAACACCUGCAUUAUUUGACGUUACCUACAGAAGAAGCACCGGCUAACUCCGUGCCAGCAGCCGCGGUAAUACGGAGGGUGCGAGCGUUAAUCGGAAUUACUGGGCGUAAAGCGCAUGCAGGCGGCCUGUUAAGUCAGAUGUGAAAGACCCGGGGCUUAACCUCGGAAAUUGCAUUUGAAACUGGCAGGCUAGAGUCUUGUAGAGGGGGGUAGGAAUUUCAGGUGUAGCGGUGAAAUGCGUAGAGAUCUGAAGGAAUACCAGUGGCGAAGGCGGCCCCCUGGACAAAGACUGACGCUCAGAUGCGAAAGCGUGGGGAGCAAACAGGAUUAGAUACCCUGGUAG
rnacentral:rRNA from 1 species